rnacentral:rRNA from 1 species
GACGAACGCUGGCGGCGUGCUUAACACAUGCAAGUCGAACGGAAAGGCCCUGCUUUUGUGGGGUGCUCGAGUGGCGAACGGGUGAGUAACACGUGAGUAACCUGCCCUUGACUUUGGGAUAACUUCAGGAAACUGGGGCUAAUACCGGAUAGGAGCUCCUGCUGCAUGGUGGGGGUUGGAAAGUUUCGGCGGUUGGGGAUGGACUCGCGGCUUAUCAGCUUGUUGGUGGGGUAGUGGCUUACCAAGGCUUUGACGGGUAGCCGGCCUGAGAGGGUGACCGGGCACAAGGGGGCUGAGGUACGGCCCAGAGGCCUACGGGGGGCAGGAGGGGGGAAUAUGGCAAAAUGGGGGGAAGCGGUAUGAAGCAACGCCGGGGGGGGGAAGACGGCCUGCGGGGUGUAAAACGCGGUAGCCUGUGAAGAAGCGGGGGUGACGGUAAUGGGAAAAGAAGGACCGGCUAACUACGUG